AAACAAGGCGAACCGAGGAAACCAAAACAUCUUAGUACCUCAAGAAAAAGAAAUUAACCGAGAUUCCCCCAGUAGCGGCGAGCAAACAGGGAACAGCCCAGAGUCAACAUCAAUAUUUACCGCAGGAGAAGGGUCUAGAAAAGCCAGCAAUAAAAGGUGAUAGCCCCGUAUCUUGAAACGGUAAGUGUUGUGAACUCGAAGAGUAGAGCGGGACACGUGUUGUCCUGUCUGAAUAUGGGGGGCUAUCCUUCAAGGCUAAAUACUCCUGACUGACCGAUAGUAAACCAGUACCGUGAGGGAAAAGAAAAAACCCCAGCAAAAGGAGUAAAUAGAACCUAAACCGUGUACGUACAAGCAGUGAGAGCAUCUGAAAAGGUCUGACUGCGUACCUUUUGUAUAAUGAGUCAGCGACUUAUAUUCUGUAGCAAAGUUAACCAGAUAAAGAAACCGUAGGGAAACCGAGUCUUAACUGGGCGUUCAGUUGCAGGGUAUAAACCCAAAACCCAGGAUCAGCC
rnacentral:rRNA from 1 species